CGAAAUAAUAGAAAUUCAACGUUUCUUGCGAGAAGUCUAUCAAGCGCUGUGUUUUCAUUCCCGAUUUCAGUGUUAAAAAUUCAAAGUGAUGCAAUUGGUAAUUGCAAUUUGGUGAAGAAUUCGGUUGGCUUCAUUUUUCGAGCGCAUGCUACUUAUUUUUCUCGCUGCUUUCAUUGUUUCCGAGUAUUUAUAUAUUAUUAACAAAUUAUUAUUGUGACUGAGCUGAAACGAGUCUUCUACGGUGGAGCAGUGAAAUUAUGGCAAUUUCAAAACAGUGAAAUUUAAUGUGUAAACUCACGACUUAUGUGGUGAAGGUAGUGGCAAGAAUGAAACUAUUGAAAUUAUAAAUGUAAUUCAAAGAGAAAAUUUAAGCAAUGAAAUAAAAAGUGCAGUGAAAAAAAUACGAAACCAAACAAUGCAGCUUCAGAAAAAUAAUUUGUACAAUUAUUUAUAUUAUUAUAUUGUGUUGUAAAGUCAGUAAAAUUCUAAGUGGAAUUGAAAAAGUUUACUUAUAAUUUUAUAUAGUUGCAAUAUGCAUAGAAUGCAAGUAACAAACGUUAGAAGAAAUAUCUUUAUUUUCCUUAUUCUGUAUUCAUCGCUGCAUCAUGGAAAACUGACAAAUGCAACAAAUGAUAUUGAUAAAAAACCCAUUGAAGCGGAAUCUUUAACCGACAGCGUAGUACCCAAUGCCAAUCCGACGUUUAAUGAUGGGGUACCGACUGUGACAACAGCAAUUCCGGGGAUACCUCCGCCACAAGUGAACCUUAAUAAGUGCUGUCGGUACAAUGAACACAUGGAUAUGAAUAAAACUUGUGUAAUGGGCAAUUCCAAGUUGUGGGUGCCUUUGAUAUAUCGUAUUUUUCAAAAAAGAUAUCAUAGUCCUCAAGGUGGAAAGCCAAAAUUUAUGACAUUUCAGGAAAAUGUACGUCCAAUUGUAUAUGUGGAUCAUAAUAACUCCAGGGAGGAUGUAUCGAUGGUGAAUGAUACAAAAGAAACAAAACGAAGUUGCACUGAAGAAGAAUUGGAACUUUUCUCGGCUGGUGGAAAUUGGUUAAUAUUUUCUAAUGGUUCAUUAUUUUUGGGUGAGAGGAAACAAUUUAUCGAACCCCAGCGAUAUUGUGUUGAUAGAAAUGUCGCACUAGUCUGCUUUCCUAAAGAGCAGAAUACUCAGCAACGAAUAAAGAUAAGGAAAUGCUGCGGUUGGAAUGCAAUUUACGAUGCUACAAAUGAAACUUGCAUAUUUCCCACCAGUAAUGAUGGUAUUAGUACACCUGAAUUGCCUUUAAAUAAAAGCUUGUACGAGACAAUAUACGGGUUUCCCACAUGCCAUCAUAAAGUUGUACCAUAUGCCAUUGCGGGCGAUUGGAACGAAAACCAAAUGGAUGACGAAGAUGGAAGUCUAAAAUUGCCUCAUAAAAACAUAUCUUCUGGUGAUUAUUGCCUUGAACAUUUUCGCGAAAAGGGCGUAAUUAUUGCAGUUAAAAUAUUCACAUGCCUUCAUCACUUUUCUACCGAAGCACCUGCUAAUGCUAUAGCGGCUGUUCGUAGCACUACUAGUAAUAUGGUGCAAGCAGCUGCUCUUAACAUUGGAAUUGUUAUUUCAGUAGUUUUUCUUGCUGCUACGUUGAUAGCUGGCUAUAUGAUGCCCUCAGUUCAUCAUAUGCUUCAUUGGCGUUGCCAGAUUUACUACGUUUUCUGCUUAUUUGUUGGAGAUUCAAUACUCGCCUACACACAAUUAUCCCACUCAUUGGAAAAUGGUUCAUUCACCUGCCUUUUGCUUGCUAGCACAAUGCAUUUCUUCUUUCUAUCUGCUUUCUUUUGGCUGAAUACAAUGUGUUUCAAUAUUUGGUGGACUUUUCGCGACUUUAGACCAAGUUCUCUUGAACGCAAUCAAGAACUGCUACGCUUACGACUAUAUUCGGCGUAUGCUUGGGGCGUGCCCUUAUUGAUAAGCGCAAUUGCUUUUACAGUAGAUCAUUUGCCAGAGACACAGUUAUUACAACCAGGAUUUGGAGAACGUAGUUGUUGGUUUAGCGGCGAGCAUUUAUCAAUUUUUGCAUACUUCUUCGGCCCAAUUGGACUUUUGCUGUGUGCUAACAUUGUACUUUUCAUAUCCACUACUCAUCAAUUAACAUGCGGCUUGUGGAAGCGAGACGAUGUCAAAUCGACUACUGAAAAAACCGCACUGGGGAAAGUAUGUUUAAAACUAGUCGUGGUAAUGGGCGUUACCUGGAUAGCCGACGUAAUAUCAUGGUUAGUUGGAGGACCCCAUUCUGCGUGGUUUUUCACCGACAUGAUAAACGCUCUGCAAGGAGUGUUUAUUUUUAUUGUGGUUGGUUGCCAACCACAAGUUUGGGCCGCUUGUAAGCGUUUUUGCUGUCCCCGUUCGCGACAAGAGAUUACGAACACAACGAAUGGCGUACAGCAUUCAAGUUCUUCACAAGGACUACCAUCGGUCGGAGGAUAUGCAGGUGGUGAAAUUACACAGAAUACAUCAGUAAAUACCACGUCUAUAGGGGGUAGCCAGCAGACGCAAACAAAAGUACCGAUGGAAACAGUAUGUUAAGUAUUUCUUCAACGAAAGCACAAUUUCAUUUCACAGCGUCGGCAGUUUAUUCACACCGAUAUAUGUAUGUAUGCACAAUAUACCAUAGCAGCUGGACGACGGUGAGCGCGUCGAAUGCCGAAGAUCAGAUCAUUGCAAAGCAGUGAUUCCACAACAAUUACAAUAACAAAAACAAUGACUAAAGUAAUUACUACAACAAAAACAAUAGUAUUAACGUAAGCAAUAGCCAGCAACGCAGAUCGACGCACAUUGCAAGAUACUCGCAGACAAGCAGACAGUAUUGCAAAAACAAAAAGAUAGAGAAAAGCCAACCAGCGAAACCAAAUUGGAUAAAAAAAAGAAGAGGGAAAAAAUAGAACAAAAUGAGAAAACAACUACAACGAAUAAGUGAAAAAGAAAUUAUACUAUGUACGUACAAGUAUGUAAGUAAUUGACAAAGCUAAAACGAAGCUGCCUCUAUAAAGAAAAAUCGCGGCGAACAUUAUUAGCGUAUAAUAGCUAUAGCUGUAGUCGUGGCAACGCAGCAGGAAGCGCAGAUAUGUGGUGGGGUGGUUGAAAAUUGCAAGCAAGAAUUAUUAUAUUCAGUUUGAGUAACGAUUUCACGAAUGUAAAGUAUGCCUAUCAAAGUACUUAAAAGAUUUCAUGACCAUCAGACGGCUGCUUCCCUAUUCUUUCCUGCCUGCAAAAGAUUGACGAAUUGCCAUUGGUAAACUAUUCUUAUGCUAUCCCUAAUAUUUUUAUUUUCCUCACAAUACAAAUUGUUUAACGCUUUAAGACUACGAUAUUUAUAAUGCUACGCUAAUAGACUCUAUUUAUGAAACUUUACCAUAUACAGCGGAAUUUCGAUAUGUCAUACGGUUAACCAACUAAACCACACACGUACCACAUAUGUAUUUUAACCACGAGCUCAGUUUGCACAAUAAAAAUAUUUGAUUUGCCUACAUACACAUAUAUACAACAUCAAUGCAUUUAUAUUAUUUUAAGCCAAAAUUUAGCCGUAAAAAUUGUUUUUUU